AGUCACUGACAUUAGAUACCCCGGUAGUCCCAGCCGUAAACUAUGCGCGUUAGGUGUACUGGUGACCACGAGUCACCGGGGUGCCGAAGGGAAACCGUGAAACGUGCCGCCUGGGAAGUACGGUCGCAAGGCUGAAACUUAAAGGAAUUGGCGGGGGAGCACCGCAACGGGAGGAGCGUGCGGUUUAAUUGGAUUCAACACCGUAAAACUCACCAGGGAAGACUGUUACAUGAAAGCCGAGAUGAAGACUCUGCUAGAUUUUCAG
rnacentral:rRNA from 1 species